GCCCCUUUAGUUUAGUGGCAAAACAGUGGUAUCGUAAACCACGAACAUCAGUUCGAUUCUGAUAGGGGGCU
rfam:Candidatus Zambryskibacteria bacterium RIFOXYC1_FTLL_39_10 rifoxyc1_full_scaffold_117, whole genome shotgun sequence.